rnacentral:rRNA from 1 species
GACGAACGCUGGCGGCGUGCUUAACACAUGCAAGUCGAACGAAGUGGCGAACGGGUGAGUAACGCGUAAUCAACCUGCCCUUCAGAGGGGGACAACAGUUGGAACCGACUGCUAAUAACGCAUCCUGCAGUAGGGGAUUGCGUCUGAUUGGCUAGUUUGAGGGGUACCGCCCCACCAAGGCGAUGAUCAGUAGCCGGGCUGAGAGGAUGAACGGCCACAGUGGGACUGGGACACGGCCCAGACUCCUACGGGAGGCAGCAGGUGGGAAUCUUCCGCAAGUGACGAAAGUCUGACGGAGCAACGCCGCGUGAGUGAUGACGGCCUUCGGGUUUUAAAGCUCUGUUAAUCGGGACGCGGUACCGGAAUAGAAAGCCACGGCUAACUACGUGCCAGCAGCCGCGGUAAUUC